rnacentral:misc_RNA from 1 species
AAGGAAGGAGAAACUCCACAAAUAUUUAAUAGAUCUAAAGAUGCUAUAUGUUCGCCGGUUAAUGUAAUGUAAAUGGAGACAAAGCCAGAAACAUUAAGAGAAAUAAGAAAAGCAUGAGAAAAUUUGAACUCUGGCCACUCAAUUGAUGGCCUGCCCUCGAGGCAUUUUCCCACUGUCACCGAGCAAACCCACUGCAUUCCCCAAUUAAUUAACCUGGCCACUGCAACUAAAACUUUACAGCCUGUUCCAUCAUCUAUAUUUGUGCUUUCAGUUUGAACAUCUUUCUUUGUAUUUAAGG